UGGGGAAUUUUGGACAAUGGGGGCAAGCGUGAUCCAGCCAUGCCGCGUGCGGGAAGAAGGCCUUCGGGUUGUAAAAAUCUUUUGUCAGGGAAGAAAUAUUAUGGGUUAAUACCCCGGGGGGAUGACGGUACCCGAAGAAUAAGCACCGGCUAAAUACGUGCCAGCAGCCGCGGUAAUAUGUAGGGUGCGAGCGUUAAUCUGAAUUAUUGGGGGUAAAGCGUGCGCAGGCGGUUUUUUAAGACAGAUGUGAAAUCUCCGGGCUCAACCUGGGAACUGCAUUUGUGACUGCAAGGCUAGAGUACGGCAGAGGGGGAUGGAAUUCCGCGUGUAGCAGCGAAAUGCGUAGAUAUGCGGAGGAACACCGAUGGC
rnacentral:rRNA from 1 species